GACGAACGCUGGCGGCGUGCUUAACACAUGCAAGUCGAACGGAAAGGCCCUGCUUUUGUGGGGUUGUCGAGUGGCGAACGGGUGAGUAACACGUGAGUAUCCUGCCCUUGUAUGUCGGGGAAAUUCAGGAAACAGGGGAUAAUACCGGAUAGGAUCUCCUGCUGCGUGGGGGUGGUUGGAAAGUUUCGGCGGUGGGGGCUGGACUGGCGGCUUAUGCGCUGGUUGGUGGGGUAGUUGCGGACGACGGCUUUGAAGGGUAGCCGGCAUGAGAGGGUGAACGGGCACAAUGGGCCUACGAGAGGGCCCAGACGCCAACGGGCGGCAGCAGUGGGGAACAUGGCACAAUGGGGGGACGCCUGAUGCAGCAACGCCGCGUGCGGGAUGCCCGCCUUCGGGUUGUAAACCGCUUUCGCCUGUGCCGAAGAGUGAGUGACGGUAAUGGGUCAAAAAGCCACGGCUAACUACGUG
rnacentral:rRNA from 1 species